UGGGAUAGAGGGAGAAUCCAAAAAGAACAAUAUAUUUCUAUAUUUAGAAAUAAUUUAACUCAAAAUGAAGAAGUAUGUGGGAGAGAUGACCCUAGAUACGAGGAUAUUGAGGUCGAGUAUUAGAGUAGAAGGUUUGUAGUUAGUCGAGCGUCGUUUUAGUUUCCCCUUAUCAGUGUUGGUACUGUUACUCUCUUACUAUCUUAUUGUUCGAUUUUAUUGUUUCCUUUGCCUCGGUUUCUGUAUUACUAGCAUGGCUUUUCCACUACUGUAUUUCCUUUCCAUAUUUGAUUUAGAUAUGCUUUACUUGAGCUAAUGGUCUAUCUGAAACUACCUCUCUACCUUCACAAGAUAGGAGUAAGGCUGGGUACAGCGUCCUCCCAAGACGACCCCACUUGUGGGAUUACACUGGGUAUGUUGUUGUUGUUAAUGGUAAGGAAAUUAAAUGGUUGUUGUUCCAUGUUGGCUAAAAGUUUCUCAAAGUGUUUAUUUUUUUCAUAAGAGAAGUUUGUGAAUAGGACUCCGUGAGAGAACUGAAUUGCUUAUUGCUAUGAAGGUCACACAAAACUGAAUUUUGAAUUCUGUUUCUGCAAGAACAUGUAGUUGCAUUUUUUGGUACAUUAUGCCAAAAAUCUCCUCAACAUUGAUGGGAGAACUCCUCAACUCUGGUUUUGUGCUAUGAAGUAUUGGCUUAAUGGGGUUUAGCCGACAUCAACACUCGCUUGAUGUGAUGACUUUGCCAAUCUAUCUUGCCAGAGUUUUGUGAAGUUGUCUGUGAUGUAACAAUGAAAGACACAAUGUUAUCAUGCUUGAAAUU